rnacentral:rRNA from 1 species
AAACUUUCAACAACGGAUCUCUUGGCUCUUGGCAUCGAUGAAGAACGCAGCGAAAUGCGAUAAGUAAUAGUGAAUUGCAGAAUUCAGUGAAUCAUCGAAUCUUUGAACGCACAUUGCGCCCGCCAGUAUUCUGGCGGGCAUGCCUGUUCGAGCGUCAUU